rnacentral:rRNA from 1 species
CAGCAGCCACGGGAAUACGAAGGGUGCAAGCGUUACUCGGAAUUACUGGGCGUAAAGCGUGCGUAGGUGGUGGUUUAAGUCCGUUGUGAAAGCCCUGGGCUCAACCUGGGAAUUGCAGUGGAUACUGGGUCACUAGAGUGUGGUAGAGGAUAGUGGAAUUUCCGGUGUAGCAGUGAAAUGCGUAGAGAUCGGAAGGAACAUCUGUGGCGAAGGCGACUAUCUGGGCCAACACUGACACUGAGGCACGAAAGCGUGGGAGCAAACAGGAUUAGAUACCCCAGUAGUCCCUGUCUCUUAUACA